rnacentral:rRNA from 1 species
ACUGCCUACGGGACGCAGCAGUAGGGAAUCUUCCACAAUGGGCGAAAGCCUGAUGGAGCAACGCCGCGUGGGUGAAGAAGGUCUUCGGAUCGUAAAACCCUGUUGUUAGAGAAGAAAGUGCGUGAGAGUAACUGUUCACGUUUCGACGGUAUCUAACCAGAAAGCCACGGCUAACUACGUGCCAGCAGCCGCGGUAAUACGUAGGUGGCAAGCGUUAUCCGGAUUUACUGGGUGUAAAGGGAGCGCAGGCGGUGCGGCAAGUCUGA